UCGAGAAUCUUCGGCAAUGGGCGCAAGCCUGACCGAGCGACGCCGCGUGGAGGAUGAAGGCCUUCGGGUUGUAAACUCCUGUCGAGGGGGAGGAAGGCGCAAGCUUGACCGAUCCCUGGAGGAAGCACGGGCUAAGUUCGUGCCAGCAGCCGCGGUAAGACGAACCGUGCGAACGUUAUUCGGAAUCACUGGGCUUAAAGCGCGUGUAGGCGGGCCGCCACGUCGGCUGCUGAAAUCCCCCGGCUCAACCGGGGAACGGGCACCGAUACGAGCGGCCUCGAGGGGGGUAGGGGGGUCUGGAACUUCCGGUGGAGCGGUGAAAUGCGUUGAGAUCGGAAGGAACGCCCGUGGCGAAAGCGAGGCCCUGGACCCUUUCUGACGCUGAGACGCGAAAGCCAGGGGAGCGAACGGGAUUAGAUACCCCCGUAGUCC
rnacentral:rRNA from 1 species